ensembl:antisense_RNA F48C1.15 ncRNA
CUCUUUCCCAUCAUCACCCCAUUUUUGAUUGGCCACUGGUCAAGAGAAAAAGAGCGCGUCACAUUGCAUACAUGCACAUAGAGCUCCGCAUCAACCAAAAAAAAAAGAGAAGGAGAGUCGACAACGACUACGACGGUGUAGACGACGACGACGACGUUGUCGUUGGUGGUGUGGACCAGAAGAGAGAGAAAUAGUAGGGAGAGAGCUUGGUUUGCAACGAGAGAAAAAGGGAAGCGCGCAGUCUCUCCAUCUCCAUCUCUCUCUCUCUCUAUACCAUUCCCUUCUAUGUGCCCUAUUAUGGUGGGGAGGUUUGUGUGUAUGUAUGUAUGUGCGGGAUGAUGGACGUGAGUGUGCUUGGGGGCCUAUGUGAUGGCGGUCUCUAGGCCAUCAGAUCCUUCUCUCUCUCUCUUUCAUUCCACUCUGUCCAUUCAAAUGACGGGAAGGGGCGGGCGCGAGGCGCGCCACGACGACGACGACGACGAUUGAAGGGAAGAAGAAAGAAGAGAUGGGAUAGGGGGAAAAUAGUCGCCGCGGGCCUUUCUUUUGCACACACAUACACAUACUAGGGAAGAGAGUCAGAGAUAACUAAAGGCCUAAAUAGAGACUACAGAGGACGAAGAGACGGCCUAAACACUGAGUGAGACACACACGCGAAUAGAAAAGACCGGGCGGGAUGGUGUGUCACUCACACACACAUUGUGAAAUAGUGUGAACAGUGAAGAGAGACGGUGCUCUACCAACCAUCGGUGGCCUCACCUCGCUUGCCUCGCUACACACACACACAGGGAGUCGAUCGAUUAGAAACGGAGAAGAAGAAGGAAGACUAAGAAGGAGGAGGAGGAGACGAUGGGGGUUCUUCCCUCUAUUCUGAUGAAGAAGAAGAAGACGUCGGCAACAGCAGCAGCAUCGGAGAAGAAGACUUUUCUAGUUCCUUUGGCGCUGCGCGGGCACUCAUCUUGUUUCUUUCUU